rnacentral:lncRNA from 1 species
CGAGCCAAUGGGCGUGGGAGAGGCCGGAAGCCAGUGUCCUCCAAUCGCCGGCCGCGGCGUGAGCCCCCAGCCAAUCCGAGUCGAGGGCCGAACCAACGGGCUCGCUGUUGGAGGGGUGACGGGAGAGCCCCGGACAGCCAGUCUCUUGGGGAAGCCCCGCGGGCCUCAGGGCAGGCGUCCAAAGGGCUACUUCUGUAGCUUCGCUCUAUCCGCAGUGCCUCUUGUCUCCUCGGCGCUCUGGAGGGAAGAGGGUCCAACGUUCCGGGGUUUUGAUAGAAGGACCAGCAACGCAGGUGGAACCGAGCCCGGCUGCCCGGGGUCUCGGGCCGGGGUCCCGGGCCGGCGGUCAGCAGCACGGAUUUGACUUAAAACAAAGAAAUUCAACAAUUGGAGCAGCCAACCUUGCAGGACUGAAGAUCUGUGAGUAAUAAAUGAGCUUCAGCAGCAGGACACCCUGUAGUCUCCAGAAGGCUGAAGUCUUCCUGAUCUUGGUUAUCCACCUGGGCAGGGGAACUCCGGAGGUGUCAUUACUGAAUAAACAAGGAGGGGUGUUUCUAACUUGAGCGGUGUCUGGAAACCAUAAACUUGAAGGACAGGACUUCAAUCAGCAGUUGCUUCAGUACUUGUGUCAACUGGUGUACCAAACAUGGCUUCCUCCAUCUAGGAAAGAGGAAGUCCACACACUAAGGUAAGCUGUGGGAAUGGUCCAGUGAAAUCUGACUGCAUCAGUCCUCCCAGAGAUCAGUGUUGCCAACAGUGGAGGAAAAGAGGGGAAGGGAGCACAGAGUGAUGACACCGAACUGCCAAAGGACAAACUUAACCCAGAUGGCCACGAAAACAGAUAGUUUGGACCUGGCCUUUCGGGAAAGAAAAGUGGAAAGUCAGGUUUUAUUUGAAACAGAAAUAUCCCAGAAGCUCUUGGAUGGCCUUAACGAAGAUCUCUGCCAGAAAAUACUCGCACCCAUUCAGCAAGCAUUAAAAGAAGGCCACCUGGACGCGACUAGGCUGACAGGUUGUUUUAGUCGGGGCUCUCCCCCAAGUCUUGGGAUCCCAA